rnacentral:tRNA from 1 species
GUCGGGGUGGCGGAACAGGCAGACGCGCACGUUUGAGGGGCGUGUGGUUACACCGUGUGGGUUCGAUUCCCAUCCCCGACACCA